AUGCCCUUGUUUCCCUUCUCGUCGGCACAGCCCUGGCCCGGUCUCUGGAUUUCCCUGGGCUUCGGGCUCCAGCGAUCUGACCCCAGCUGGCUCCCCCUGCAGAGCCAGGGCGCAGGUUCCGGACUCACCACCCGGCGGCCCGCGCCAUUCCUGGAGUCUGGAAACUUCAUCACUGUGUGGACGGAAGUCAGACUAAGCCACAGCUUCCCCUGUGAAAACCCCCAGGUCGUAGAAGUCGCCCGCACCCCUUGGCUGCAUCCCGAACCGCCGGCGUCGCUCAGACCUCUGCUUUUCUCCUUUCCUGACUCUCCCUGCUGCUGUCUUCUCAGGGGGACGCUGACUGCGCCCCGGGACCUGCUGGCUCGCAGAUCUCGGAUAAGCUUUCCCUGAGGAGCCUUGACCGAGCUCCUCCGUGGGGGCACCGCUGGGAGCCACAGCUCUGCUCAGCUGGCCCCCCUCCCUUUCUGCUGUCGCUUUCCCUACUUCCCGGUAGCGUUUUCGGGAUGAGAUUGUCUGCCCAACGACUUCGUGCACUUGCGUCCUUGCCUCGGGAUCUGCUUCCAGCAAAGCUCACUCUAGGACCCUGAGGACAGGGGCGCAGGCAAGCGGCCUGGCUGGCUGGAGACGGGUGCACGCAGGAAACCCUCCUGGGGCUGCUCUCAGCCGAAUUGUUGCUUGCUGUCCUGAGGGAGACAGCUUUACCCAGGGUGUCAGCCACAAGAGCCUCCUCCAGGGUCUGACUGAAACAGAGAGAUUUGCCUCAGGCCCUGGCAAAUCUCAGGCUGCAGCAGCCCGCCGGGUUCCCUGUACCACAUACAGAUUCAUGAAUCAGAUGGGAAUGGCUGAAUUUGUGUCAUUCUUGUUUUGUGUUGGUUUUUUUUUUUUCAAAAACAAAAAACAGCUGCCAUCCCUUAAUUGCCUGGCACUAUUCAAGAAGAAAUGAGUGGAAUAUUUCUAUCCAGCUCUUCUUUCUUACCAUUCUUAUUCUUCAGGGCUGAUAGGGUUCUCAUUUUACUCCUGCCUCACUUGUUUGAGAAAGAAAACAGCUUUUACUGGUCUUUCCACCUCUGAGACCUGUGCCAUUAGCAAAAUUCUUUGCUUUGUGAGGUUUAGUUUCUACUCGAACCUUUCCAUCUCUGGAGAAAAAACUCAUGGAAGGGGCCAGGGAUUUAGCUCAGUGGUUCUGGUGUCUGCUUUGCAAGUGCAAGGACCCAAGUUCGAUCCCCAGUGCCAGAAAAAACAAAAAAAAAGGAAAGAAAGAAAGAGAAAACUCAUAGAAAAAAGUUCUGUCAGCAUCAGCAUUCAGAACUCGAGAAUCAGGAGGUUGUGUUCAGAUCACGGCAGGACUGCCUGGAAGGCAUGUUUGGUAUUGGGUGCCGGUGGUUCACACCCUGCUUUUAUUCCUGAGUCACAGUGUCAAGCCUCGGGAGAUCUGCUUACUUUCUCACCAUCAGCUCCCUGAUCCAUGAAACAGAGAUGAAUUACAGAGCUGGCUGGACGCCUGUUGGAAAGCCCUCAGGUGGUCCACACCCAGACCAUCUUGGGGUUCAUCCAUCUCUACAGCCGAGCCCUCUCAGGAGCCUAAAUGUGAAGGGUUAAGAAACGGAUGCCAACUGGGGCUGCAUGUCUAUAAUCCCAGCACUCGCGAGGCUGAGGUAGGAGGGUGAUUGUGAGCUUGAGGCCAGCCUUAGCUACAUAAUGAGUUUAAGGCCAACCUGAGCUACAUAGCUAGAUGCUGUAAAAAAAUCUGAAAAAAAAAAAAAAAAGAAAAAGAAAAAAAAAAGAAAAAAGAAAAAAAAGAGGGGGGUGUGAUUUGAAAAAAGAGAGGGUUCCUAAAGGUGACUCCACCAUGAGGGACCCCGACCUGGUGGGGAUGGGAUUGUGAAUCUCAGGCGCCCUGAGUCCCUGGCUUCCACUCUGGGGCGUGGAGAGCUCCAUCCCUUCCAGUGCUGGGCUUGGGAAUCCUUCAUUCCUUCUCAGAGGCCGCGGCCCCACAACUGUACACACUGUACAAAAGCGAAUGUGCGGUCAGGUCGGGCACUGAAGCUCAUCCUGGCAGCGGAGAGGUCCUGUAGUCCCAACAGUUAGCCACAGAAACGAGCCAGGCUGGGUACAGCUCAGCAGUACAGCGUUCACCCAGUGUGUGAGACCCUGGGUUAAAUCCAGCACCACAAAAACAAGCACCAAACAGACCGAAAAACAAGAGAGGAGAGCUCUACCAAGCUGUUCAGGGUCAGCCUAAAACCGAACACCUGGGUAAUGUGAGCAGCACGAACAAAGACAACAUGGCAGAGGGGAGGCUGCAACUCCGCGGGGACUCCAGGAACAGGCUGGGAGCAGGCUCAGAGAUGCAGCUAGUGUGUGUCCCAGGCCCCCAACUCCCCAGGGACCCCGGGGCUCCUUGCUGACCUUUGUUUGCUAAAAGCUGAUUCAUAAAGAACACAUUUCUGGAUUUUCUCUGGAGGGAAGUUUUAUUUAAUGGCUAGCAGACAUGAAGUGCAAUCUAUACAACAUGAACUCAGUGAGGACCUGGCAUCUAAAGGAGAGAAGGGUCAGAGCCCCCGGGGGAACUCACAUUCACCUUGUUGGGGUGUGCCACUUAGUUGCUGGUUUUGUUUUGUUUUGUUUUGUUUUUGAGACUGGGUCUUGCUAUGUAAUUCAGACUGGCUUUCAGUACCCUAUGGAGCCCAGGCUGGUCUUGAGAUCACAGCGAUCCUCCGGUCCUUGCAAAUGCGGGGAUUGCAAGAGUGCACCAUCACUCCUGGCUGUCAUCACCCACUUGAGACAGUAAAGCUUGUGGGUGCGGGGCAAUAUGUUUUGUAUUUUUGUUGGGGUGCUGGGAUCAAACUCUGGGCUAUGUACUCACUAGGCGAGCGCUCUGCCUUUGAGCCCCGGCCCUGCCCCUAUGAUAAUGGAGCUGGGAGCCCCCCAGGAGACUUGAUAAGCACACUUCUGGGUGUGUCUGGGUGGGACCAGGAUGGGUGACUUUAGAAUCUCUGUCAAGUCCCUGACCCUUUGUUCCCCUGCUCUGCUUCUUGGCAGACAGGAAGUGAGCAGCUGUGCUGUACUACAUCUUCCACCAUGAUGUUUCUGUCUUGGAGCCAGCUGACCAUGGACUGAACCCUCUGAAACCAUAAGCCAAAUAAAAUUUCUUCUCCUGUAAAUUGU
rnacentral:lncRNA from 1 species